GGAAGCGAGUGACGUAACCGAAGCUCAAGCUACACACGAUUCUCGUUUCAUUUUCUCUAUAUAAACGCGUUAGGGUUUCAAUUUAAACCAGCUUUUGAAUUUUGAUAUUUCCGCCGCUACACGAUGACUGGAAACACUGAAAUCGCGGUGACUAAAGAAGAACCACCCAAACACUCCCUACCUAACCUCUUCUCUUUCUUCCCUAAAUUCGAUUUUCAACUACCUUUCCUCCCUCCCAAACCCAAACCCAAACCCAAGCCUAAAUCCGAACCGCAAGCAGCGAAACCCGAGCACGAGCCUCCGAAGCCGAUCGUUGUACGCUUCCCGAAAAGCCAGGGUGCGGUGGUUUCUUCUUCGUCUCUGCAGGUUGAGUCCGACCACUCUUCCGCCGCCAAAACAUCCAAUCCUUUUGUGAUUUGGCAGGUUAAGACCAAUUUUGCUUAUAAAGAAUGGCGUUAAACAGCCACCCAAGAAGAAUACAGGGCAUUGAAAGACCUGGCUUCACAAGUUACUUGGAUCAAGUCCCUUCUACAAGAAAUUCUGCUGCGUCUACCAAGGACAUCAUUCUUAUGGUGUGACAAUUUUAGUGACAAAGUCUCGGGCAUCCAAUUCGAUACUUCCUGCGAGGUCAAAAUAUUUUGAGGUUUAUGCGGUAGGAGCGAUCAUGAUUUCAACAUGGAUUUGGGCAAGGUGGAAUGAGAGGAAGGGUCGAGGAGGGUCUUCCAAUGAUGAGCGGGCUGAAGGAAGUCAUUCUAAUGAUGAUAAUCAUUGAUCUUCAGGCGAUGAAUAGAAAUUUUCUAUAGCUGUAUAAAGUGCUAUGUCCAAUACUCACAUUCACAGUAUGAAUGUAAAUUUGUUUCAUUUGCUUUAAACAGCAAUGGAAAUCUGUUUCUUUACCAACAGUUGCUGAAUUGGUACAUAUUCUCUUUAGUAUCAAAUGAAUUCCUUCUCAUUUCUGUUAUCAAAUUCUCUGUCGCCACGUCAUUAGUCAGCAUCUAAAUAAUCUGUCAAUGCAUUUUUUCUUCAA